AGUGAACGCUGGCGGUAGGCCUAACACAUGCAAGUCGAACGGCAGCACAGUAAGAGCUUGCUCUUACGGGUGGCGAGUGGCGGACGGGUGAGGAAUACAUCGGAAUCUACUUUUUCGUGGGGGGUAACGUAGGGAAACUUACGCUAAUACCGCAUACGACCUACGGGUGAAAGCAGGGGAUCUUCGGACCUUGCGCGAUUGAAUGAGCCGAUGUCGGAUUAGCUAGUUGGCGGGGUAAAGGCCCACCAAGGCGACGAUCCGUAGCUGGUCUGAGAGGAUGAUCAGCCACACUGGAACUGAGACACGGUCCAGACUCCUACGGGAGGCAGCAGUGGGGAAUAUUGGACAAUGGGCGCAAGCCUGAUCCAGCCAUACCGCGUGGGUGAAGAAGGCCUUCGGGUUGUAAAGCCCUUUUGUUGGGAAAGAAAAGCAGCAGGUUAAUACCCCGCUGUUCUGACGGUACCCAAAGAAUAAGCACCGGCUAACUUCGU
rnacentral:rRNA from 1 species